GAAAGAAAAGGAGAAGAGAGAGGAAGGGAUGAUUGGUCUUUCUCUCUUCUCUUCUUUCUCUUCCUGUCUUCUCUCUUCUUUUUUCUUUUUCUCCUUUUCUCCCUC
rnacentral:ribozyme from 13 species